AAAGAAAUUACAGGAGGUCGUGGUGCACGCCUUUAAAACCAGCACUCUGGAGGCAGAGGCAGGAGUAUCUCAGCUUUGAAGUUCUCAGGAAUUGCUUUUUGGCACAGUUUAUCUGCUUUGUCCCGAGUGACCUUGGAGACCUCAUCAUUUCGCUCCAGUGAUGAUCAUUUUUGGCUUUCAAGACAAGGAGAAUGUCUUUGGUUUCACUUUGAAGCUUGCUAGAGAAAAAAAAAAUAUUCUGGGACCCUUAUCAUGAGGAUGUGAAGAGUCCUUUGUGGCGGCUCUCUGUAACUUGGUAACAUCUGAUGAAGUGGUCCACUUGCAGAGAGGAUGCUGACGGAGGAGAGGCCUCAUGUGUUGUGCAGGAAAGAGUUCCUGCUGCCUCCUCACACUUCAGCUUCACCCAUCUCCAGGGGCUUGGGAAAUGCUUUCCUCUUAGUUUGGCCAGGAGCAGAGCUGAAAGCAGGUUUUUUUCCCCUUCCCUCCCCAGAGUCAUCUUUGUCACACCAGGGAGUAUAUAGGAGCUUGCCAAGCUGCCUGCCUGCCACUUAGUGACCCCACAGAGGGGUUCAUCCAAAUCAACUACACUUGACCUGUUUGGUUUUUCUGGCUGGUUUUCUAUUUCUUCCUUUGGUGCUAAGAUUUGAACCCAAGCCCAACUUCAUGCAUGCUAGGCAAAUAUUCCACCAUGGAGUCAUACCCCCAGCGUGGUGUAUUUUUAUAACCCUGUGCUAGAGGGUGGAUCAUACCAACACUUGUGAACCCAAGAAGCUCUCUCUAGUUAAACAUCUCAACGGUGGC
rnacentral:lncRNA from 1 species